AUGAGAUAUAUUACAAACGGCGGAGACAAUAGCUUUUCUUAUACAAUGAUGUUGAUCAGUUUAAAGUAUGAAUUUGUGCUCUGCUCGGUUUUACUAGCUCGUAACCGGCUGUCUACGCCUAAUCGGGAUGUCUAUAUAAUCCUCCCAAGCGUGAGGCUUUGUAGGAACAAGAUGAGACACUUUAACUUAGGAUCAUUCGGCUAA